rnacentral:ncRNA from 1 species
CAAUUGUUUGAUUUUUGCUACAUUCUUAGCUAUCACAAAUUUUAACACAUGCAACUUUCAAGAAACCCGUGCAAAUCUAAUAAAUCUAAAAGAUAUUAUAUACAAUAGUUUAAGUAAAAUUAAAACACUAAUACACGCCUGCAGUGAAGAAUUUUGUAAAAAAUUUAAUUUAUGUAACAUAAAUUGUGAAAAUGUGCUGAUAAAAUUCGUGCCAGCCAUCGCGGUUAUACGAUAAGCACAAGUUAAGAAUUUCGGGAGAGUCAUGAUAAAUAAUAAAUAAUAUAAUAGUACAAUAUAUACAUUAUAAAUUAACUUUUAAAUAUCAAAUAACAUAAUAAACGAAAGAGUUAACAAAAACAAGGAUUAGAUACCCUUUUAUUCAACUCCUUAAAUAAUUCUUCCCGGGCACUACGAACUCAGGUUUAAAACCCAAAAAAAUUGGCGGCAUUUUAUGUAAUUAGGGGAAUCUGUCUGUUAAUUUGAUAACCCACAAUAAACCUUUCUUAUUUUAGAUUAUCAGCUUGUAUACCGCCGUCGUCAGCCAACAUUUUAUAAAAUUGUUAGCAAUAAAGUCUUUACACUUACACGUCAGGUCAACGUGCAGCCAAUAAAUAAGUCAAGAUGGAUUACAAUAAAUAAAAAACAAGAUUAUAAAUAUAAUAUAAUUAUUUAAAUAUGGACUUAAUAGUAAAUUAAUAUUAAUAUAAUAUAUUGAAUAUACAAUCUAAAAUGUGUACACAUCGCCCGUCACUCUCACCGAAAGGCGAGAUAAGUCGUAACAUAGUAGGUGUAACUGAAGUUGUACCUUCAAGAUA